rnacentral:rRNA from 1 species
AGAGUUUGAUCAUGGCUCAGAACGAACGUUGGCGGCGUGCUUAACACAUGCAAGUCGAACGAGAAAGUUUUCUUCGGAGAACGAGUAAAGUGGCGCACGGGUGAGUAACGCGUAAGUAAUCUACCCUUGCAUUUGGGAUAACUACGGGAAGCUGUAGCUAAUACCGAAUACGUUCAUAGAGUUACGACUCUAUGAAGAAAGAUGACCUCUUCUUGAAAGUUAUCGUGCAGGGAGGAGCUUGCGUACCAUUAGCUAGUUGGUAGGGUAAAGGCCUACCAAGGCAACGAUGGUUAGCGGGUCUGAGAGGAUGAUCCGCCACACUGGAACUGAAACACGGACCAGACUCCUACGGGAGGCAGCAGUGAGGAAUAUUGCGCAAUGGGGGAAACCCUGACGCAGCGACGCCGCGUGGAUGAUGAAGGCCUUCGGGUCGUAAAAUCCUGUCAGGUGGGAAGAAAUGCAUGAGGGAAUAAUACCCCUUGUGUUUGACGGUACCACCAAAGGAAGCACCGGCUAACUCCGUGCCAGCAGCCGCGGUAAUACGGAGGGUGCAAACGUUGUUCGGAAUUACUGGGCGUAAAGCGCGCGUAGGCGGUUUGUUAAGUCAGAUGUGAAAGUCCACAGCUCAACUGUGGAAGUGCAUUUGAAACUGGCAGACUUGAGUACUGGAGGGGGUGGUGGAAUUCCCGGUGUAGAGGUGAAAUUCGUAGAUAUCGGGAGGAAUACCGGUGGC